AUGCAAGAAGUUCGUGGAUAGUUUGAAGCUAUCUUUUUCAUAUUUAUUUAUGAUGUGUGCU
rnacentral:tRNA from 1 species